CAAUGGGCGCGAAGAGGAAGAGCUCGCCGGGCUUGGGAUCUGCGCGUGCGCGAGGUGACAGGUUGGUUCCAGCGGAGGCAUGGAAGGAGACGCGGCCCGAGGGUGCCUGUCGAUGGAUGGCUUUGCUCGGGUAGCUGAAGCCGGCGUCUCCAGCCCCGAGUUCACAGCUCUUUGCUCUUGGCUGGUUUCCGAGCUCCGCAGCCUUUGCCCUCUCGAAGAGGACGUGAAUCCCACUCGUGGUCCUGGGGAUGCCGAGACCUUUCAGAUCGAAGUGAGCGGCCUCCUUGGGGAGCUGCAUUGUCCCUACUCCUCACUGACUUCGGGGGACGUCACAGCCAGGCUUAGCACCCCGGACAGGUGCCUCCAGCUCCUGUAUUUUUUGAGCUCAGAGCUCCUGGCCGCCCGGCUGCUGGCUCGGAAGACGCUCCGUUCGCCACCGGAAAAAGAAGACCCAGCUGGCGAAGCGGUGAAGGAGCUCCAACUCAUCUGCCAAGCCCUGGGAAUGCCGGACCUGGAUCUAGGCUGCCCAGUCCAUCAAGCCAUGGCUGACAUAGAAGCCAAGAUUUCGGAGGUGCUUUCUUCACUACCCCCUGAACACCAGCAGAUGGCGCCGCUCCUAAAGGCCACACUGACCUCCGAGGAAUGGGGGGCGCUGGAGGGCAUACGGGAUUUGCUGUGCACGGAGUAUCAGUGCCGCCAACGCAUGAUGGCCACUCGUCUCGACGUCACCGUAGAGUCCUUCCAUUGGUCCGAGAGGGCAAAGGACCGCAGCGGAGCUAUGUCAGAGGCCUUCAAACCCUUGCGGCAAUCUUUGCUGGAGGAGUCCCAAGUCACCGUUCCUCACCUGCUGGCUGCGCGGGAGGACUUCUCACGCAUCGUGAAGACCAGCAGCGGAGCUUCGCGGGACAAGACAAGCUGUGCCGUCAACAAGGUGCUGAUGGUUGGUGACGUCCCGGAUCGCGGUGGGCGUCCGAAUGAGAUCGAACCCCCCAUGCCCACGUGGGAGAAGAGACGAGAAGGAGGCGGCGGCCACCAGCGAUGGGGCAAGCGGAGCAAGAAGAAGAAAAAAUAGCAAGGGGCUGGAUCCUGACCUCCUCCGGCGUGGGGUAUGGUCAAAACCACCCUUAACUUUAGGGCAGGGAAGAGCUUCAGGAAGUUAACCGCAGCAAGGAUGAGCGGUGGAUACAGCCUCAAAGCCCAGCCAUCACCAAAGAUGGUUUCAGUGUUGCUUUUCCCUAAAAUGCGAGGAAAUGCAGUUUACAAGAAAGGUGCCCAUUACGUUGAAAUUGAGACAGUGGGCAGGGGCAUGUGUGCUAACAUCAGACAUCUCUCCCCCCUUCCCCACCCCCCUUUCAGUUGCUUUAAAGUUGUUGGACGUUUGUGUUGUCCGCAUUAUAGCUUGGUGUCAGAUGAAUUGCACCUUUCGAGCAGAGAUGGGGAGUCUGUGGUUCCUUCAGAUGCCAUUGGACUUCAUCUCCCAGCACCCCCAGUUAGUGGGGCCAGUGAUCGGGUGUGAAGGGAGUUGGGGGCCAAUGUUCCCCGUCCCUUAUCUAGUUAAUACACAACUUGCAAGGAUGAAGGAACAAGAGGUGCUGGCAAAUGUCUGGAUUUCUCAAGGUUUCUUUUUGGGCUUUAGAUGCCGAAUGUGGGUAGAAGCAACCUUCCUUUUGGGGCUGGGUGGGCAGCAUUUAUGAGAAAUCCAGCUUUAGAAAUGUCCCGUUAGAUUUAACCAGACAAUGUAGGAAGAGGGAAGAUAUUAAUUUGGGAUUUUUAAGCACAAACCCAAACUUGUUUGUACCUUUUCCUCUGGAUUAUGCAGCGGUUGAGAAAGGCUGAUCUACAGGGUGGCUCAAUUGCAACAGCCAGUGAGUAUGGGGUUUUGUUUGAAUGGUGCAAGUUAAUUUUUGUCCUUGUUCUGAAGGGACAGGAUUGAAAAUGGUCAGGCUGGGUUUAGUGUAACACUAAGAGAUUAAACAUUUUCCUUGUCAUUCAAACUCA